rnacentral:tRNA from 1 species
AAAAAGUAGUUUAAUUUAAAAUAUUAAUUUUGGAGAUUAAUGAUAAGUAAUUUACUUUUUUUUGAU